UUCCUACGGGAGGCAGCAGUGGGGAAUAUUGCACAAUGGGCGCAAGCCUGAUGCAGCGACGCCGCGUGCGGGAUGGAGGCCUUCGGGUUGUAAACCGCUUUUGUUCAAGGGCAAGGCACGGUCUUUGGCCGUGUUGGGUGGAUUGUUCGAAUAAGAACCGGCUAACUAAGUGCCAGCAGCCGCGGUAAUACGUAGGGUGCAAGCGUUAUCCGGAUUUAUUGGGCGUGAAGGGCUCGUAGGCGGUUCGUCGCGUCCGGUGUGAACGUCAAUCGCUUAACGGUGGAUCCGCGCCGGGUA
rnacentral:rRNA from 1 species